UCCGACGCCAACUCCAGCAACAUACCCGCGCAUCGAGCGCGGAGAGAAGCUGUCCGCGAUCACCGCAUCGAAUAAUUCGCGGCAAGAACGGGUGGGGUUGCUACAGUUCGCGUCUUGGCCGAUGCCGUCCGGUGGAGCUUCGUACGGCAACUGCUGCUGCUUACCUGGUGCCGCAGCGUUGGAUGAAUGCACAGAAAGCCCGGAACGGGCAUUCGUAUGGAGCAAAAUAAACAUUUCCUAAUUUCACAA